GGUGGUAUUAGCACCUAACAGUUUGAUAUCAUCUCAUACAGUGUACUGUGUACUGCUGAGCUACUGGUGUACUGCUUCAUGUUACCUAGUGUUGGGUGUUAAAGAAUAAUGAGAGGUAUUUUUACUUUGUAACACUGAGAAUUAAGCAUGGUGAUGCUGACUUCCUAGGGCUCUGUUUCAAGUGCGGAAUUUACAGAAAAAUCUGCAUCAUGGAUUUACUCACUUUAAGUUGUGGAUAUAGCUUAAAUAACAUGCUGAAAGGAUCAUUAAACUAAUUUUGCUUUGCUGAACCAGUGUUAGGAAAGAACAUCAAAGAGAAAGAAAAAAGAAUAUUGAUUUCCAAUAGUCACCAGGUCUAAAAGUCUGGUGUCAGUAUCAUUUAAUCACAUAUAGGCAUCCCGUUUCAUCAAAAUUACUGUCCCAAUUAGGCAGAAAUCCAUACUGCUUGUUAUCAUGCUGUAUUGUUUUUCUGGGAAAUGCCAUGUAUAAAACUGUAGUUGUCUGCAUUUUUUUCUUGCCAUUCUCUGAAGCAUUAGGACUUGUGUACUUACAAGAUAACUGAAAGAGUGUCCCAGAUUCUUGCACCUAACGUUUGGGAAAAUUCAGUUGGUACAUGGAGUGUAUCAUCAGAUUUGCUGGAUGAACUGCUGACAUUGUUCUUGAUAGUUUAAAAUAACAGCAGACAGUAUGAAAAAGGCAGUCUCCUCUGACAGGUGUUUUUUGCCAGUAGUAAUGUCCAGUAAUUGGAAUAAACUGCCAAGUGAAGGAAUAGAUUCUCCAUCUUUUGAUGAUUUUGUGGAAUGGGGUGCUGAGUCGCCUGAGAAGACUUUGUCGUUCCCAUCUCUGAAGUAUUCCUGCAGCUUUUCCAGGCUUUCCAAGGUGAGAAAGAGGGAGCUGAAGCAUCCUCAGUAGCUUCUUUGGAUCUCCAGUACUUCAAAGGCAGGAUUAGACCUGCAGGAUUAAUAAAUUUAACAACUAAAUCCUGAAGUAUGAUGAG
rnacentral:lncRNA from 1 species